UACAGAGGUCUCGAGCGUUAGGCGGAAUCACUGGGCUUAAAGCGUGUGUAGGCGGAUUGCUAAGUACCUUGUGAAAUCCCACGGCUUAACCGUGGAACUGCUUGGUAUACUGGCUGUCUUGAGCCACUUAGGGGCAACCGGAACAAACGGUGGAGCGGUGAAAUGCGUAGAUAUCUGGAGGAACACCGGUGGCGAAGGCGGCAUCCUGGACCGGCAUUGACGCUGAGGCGCGAAAGCCAGGGGAGCAAACGGG
rnacentral:rRNA from 1 species